rnacentral:rRNA from 1 species
CUACGGGAUGCAGCAGUGGGGAAUAUUGGACAAUGGGGGAAACCCUGAUCCAGCAAUGCCGCGUGUGUGAAGAAGGCCUGCGGGUUGUAAAGCACUUUCGGUUGGGAGGACUGCUUCUAGCACUAAUAUUGUUGGAAGUUGACGUUACCUUCAGAAGAAGCUCCGGCUAGCUCCGUGCCAGCAGCCGCGGUAAUACGGAGGGUGCAAGCGUUAAUCGGAAUUACUGGGCGUAAAGCGCGCGUAGGCGGCUAGAUCAGUCGGGUGUGAAAGCCCCGGGCUUAACCUGGGAACUGCAUCCGAUACUGUCUAGCUUGAGUACAGGAGAGGAGAGUGGAAUUCCACAUGUAGCGGUGAAAUGCGUAGAUAUGUGGAGGAACACCAAUGGCGAAGGCAGCUCUCUGGCCUGAUACUGACGCUGAGGUGCGAAAGCGUGGGGAGCGAACAGGAUUAGAUACCCCGGUAGUC